UGAUCAGGUGGCCCUCAGUGCUGAGAUUGAAAACCUGGGUCAGGCAAUUGUGCACAGCCCAACAAGCAAGUUGGGCCCAGAGGCUGCCAGAGCAGAAGGCUGGGUUUGCAGAGAAGAAUUCUACUUGUACGUGAAUCCAGGAGCCCAGGGUAGCUGUGUCUGUAAUAUCCUAUGUUGAGUUUCUUUCCACAACCUUCCAAUUCCCUGUCCUAGUCCAGGGAGAACUUUUGCUCCCCUGUGAUUCUCCCUACAAGGUUGGGCAACACCUUCCUUAUUCCCAUUCAAAUACACAUCAUUCUGUUAUUCCUGUCCCUGUAGAUACCCAUCUCUCCAAUGAUCUGCUCCCUUGGUCACUCUUCAAUCCUUCACAGGCUCACAAGGAGAGUUCUGCAGCUGGAGACUGUUCUGGAGGGAGUUGUGUCUCAGGUUGAUUCUGUAGGCUCAAAGCUGAAGAUGCUGGAGAGGAAGGGGUGGCUGACUCCCUCCCCAGCAGUGGUGAGUGGCCCUUCAUCUGGGUCCUCUAAGUUCUCCAGAGAUGAACUCUACUAUCUUUCCCCACUCAUAUAGGGGUGGGGAGACUUUUUGUGUAUGUGUGUGUCUGUCUGUGACACUGGGGAUUGAACCCAGGGGUGUUUUACUACAGAACUACAUCCCCAGACUUUUUAAAAAAUUUUAUUUUGACAGGGUCUUGAAUAUUCAGUUUCCCAAACUGGUCUUAAAUUUGUGAUCCUUCUGCUUCAGUUUUCCCAAACACUGAGAUUACAGACAUGGGCCACCACACCCAGCCCCUCAGUGGUGGAAAAAGUAUAACAUUUUUGAAAGACCUAUGUUUUCAGGGUCCUAGGGAAACAUGUUCAUAGUUGUCAGCAUAUCAGUGGAGGUGAUGAUGUAGGAAAGGUUUGCAAGUUGUUGCCCUGGCUUAAGGCCUGCCUUGGCCUCUAAGCAAGGUCUGUGUUUAAGUCUAUUUGGCUUGUGGUAACAAUCAUAAACUGAGGGCUUGCAAACAACAGAAAUAUAUUUCACACAAUUUGGGAGGGCUUGCUUCUUGGUUCAUAGAUUGCUGUGCCCUCACAUAGUAGAAGGAACAAGGGAAACUCUUUUUUUUUUUUCUCAGUAUCAGGGACUGAACACAGGGUUACUUAACCAUAGAGCCAUAUCCCUAGUCCUUAUUUGUUUCUAAAUUUUGAGACAAGGCCUUGUUAAAUUGCUUAGGACCUUGCUAAGUUGCUGAGGCUGGUUUUGAUCUUGCAAAUCUUCUGCCUUAACCUCCCAAGCCACUGGGAUUACAGUUGUGCCCCACUGCACCCAGCUGGGAACUCUCUUUUAUAAGGGCACUAAUCCACUUCAUGAGGGUUCCACACUCAUGACCUAAUCACUUACCAAAGGUCUCACCUCCUAAUACCAUCACAUUAGGGGCUAGCAUUUCAAUAUAUGAUUUUGUGAAACAAAAACAUUCAGUCUCUAGCAGUCUGGAUUAUCUGUAAUCAGAUCCAGAGAAAAGAAAGGUGGGAAACAUACUAUUCCUUAAGAUAACUUAUUUCUUUUUAUUCCAACAGGAGGAUCAAGCAAUUUGGGAACACCUGCAGCUAGCCACAGCUGUGACUCCAGCCCCAUAGGAAGUCCAGGAGAAUGGAGGAAGAGUCCUAAAGCAUCAGUAGCAGGCUCCUCUCUCUGUGUCUCCACAGAGGCUUCUUCUCUACAUGCUCUCCACUUCUAGGGCAGUAGGUCCCACAUGGCUGUUGCUGAGUCCCACCCUUUACCUGACUCUUCAGCCAAUGUUACUGUGUGUAGCUGGGCAUCAUGUUUAGGUUUGUGAUUCAGUGUUUCUGUGUGUAGCCACAUAGCUCUGUGAAAUGACAUUUCCAACUGGGCUUCUUACUGCAUGUGCACUUAGCUCUGCAAUAGUAAUAAAACCAUGUCAAUAACAAACAGGAUAAAGGAAGGGAGGGUAAGGACUCUCCCUAAGCACCUAGACAGACAUGAUUUGUGAAAAAGAUAGAAGCCAAGAGAGUAGGUUGUGUCUAGCUGUACUUGCCAGUAAAUCUUACUCUUAUUUGUGCAUCUAGAUCUCUAUUGCCAGCAUCCAUGGGUUUCUUGUAAUCCCUUAUAAAGUUUCCAUGUAAAAGAGAAGGGGAAGCCUUAGAGGUGAGUAGACUCUGAUGAGGUAAGAUUCCAAAGUUGCAGAGUUGUUAGAGUGUUGCUCUGCCAUAGCAAAGUCAACAAAGGCUUUUCCGGAGAAUUCUGUCUCCUGGAGUUCCACUUAACACGGGGAAUUGAGGGGGCUGUAAUUCAGAAGAUGAAAUGGAGCCUGAAGGGAAUUAGGCAAGAAAAUGACCUCAGGAUUCAGACAUCUUUGGAAUAUGUGUUAGACUCUGAUUCUAUUUUUCCAUAGGAUAAUGUGGGUUUCCCAGGUGACUAUCAAUAAAACUCUUUCAGAAAACCAGGUUUUGUAUUUGGUUCUGG
rnacentral:lncRNA from 1 species